GGUGUAGCUCAGUGGCAAAGCUCUUGCCUAGUAUGUGAGAGGCCCUGGGUUCCAUCCCCAGCACC
rnacentral:tRNA from 1 species